GACGAACCGUGCGAACGUUGUUCGGAACCACUGGGCUUAAAGGGCGCGUAGGCGGGCUAUCAAGUCCGGGGUGAAAUCCUCCAGCUUAACUGGAGAACUGCCUCGGAUACUGAUGGUCUCGAGGAGGAUAGGGGCACACGGAACUGUGGGUGGAGCGGUGAAAUGCGUUGAUAUCCAUAGGAACUCCGGUGGCGAAAGCGGUGUGCUGGAUCCUUUCUGACGCUGAGGCGCGAAAGCCAGGGGAGCAAACGGG
rnacentral:rRNA from 1 species